ACGUUCACUUCUCUAGGCUAUUUGAAAUGUAAAGAGAAUAACCCAGGUUAUGAGCUGGGGGGACGAGGAAACGGAUGAAGAUGAUUCUAUUGAAAUCUUAGUAGAAGGGGGAAGGGUAAUGAAGGAGGUGUUGGAGAAGAAAGGGGUAUAGCUCUGGGAAGUGCUGGAAAUAGUUGGGUGUUCUAUCUUUGAUGAUGACUGGUUGGUUAAUGAUGAG
rnacentral:misc_RNA from 1 species